rnacentral:rRNA from 1 species
CAGCCGCCGCGGUAAUACGAAGGUCCCAAGCGUUGUUCGGAAUCACUGGGCGUAAAGGGUGCGUAGGCGGCGUGGUAAGUCAGAUGUGAAAUCCCGGGGCUCAACCCCGGAACUGCAUCCGAUACUGCCAUGCUAGAGGACUGGAGAGGUGACUGGAAUUCUCGGUGUAGCAGUGAAAUGCGUAGAGAUCGAGAGGAACACUCGUGGCGUAAGCGAGUCACUGGACAGUAUCUGACGCUGAGGCACGAAGGCCAGGGUAGCGAAAGGGAUUAGAUACCCCCGUAGUCCCUGUCUCUUAUAC